AUUGAACGCUGGCGGCAGGCCUAACACAUGCAAGUCGAGCGAGUGGCGGACGGGUGAGUAAUGUCUGGGUCUCUGCCCGCUAGAGGGGGAUAACUACUGGAAACGGUGGCUAAUACCGCAUACUAUCGGAUGAACCCAUAUGGGAUUAGCUAGUAGGUGGGGUAAAGGCUCACCUAGGCGACGAUCUCUAGCUGGUCUGAGAGGAUGAUCAGCAACACGGGGACUGAGACACGGCCCAGACGCCUACGGGAGGCAGCAGUGGGGAAUAUUGCACAAGGGGCGCAAGCCUGAUGCAGCCAUGCCGCGUGUAUGAAGAAGGCCUUAGGGUUGUAAAGUACUUUCAGCGGGGAGGCGUUACCCGCAGAAGAAGCACCGGCUAACUCCGUGCCAGCAGCCGCGGUAAUUC
rnacentral:rRNA from 1 species